rnacentral:rRNA from 1 species
CAGCAGCCGCGGUAAUACGAAGGGGGCUAGCGUUACUCGGAAUUACUGGGCGUAAAGGGCGCGUAGGCGGCGCUCCAAGUUAGGCGUGAAAGUCCUGGGCUCAACCUGGGAACUGCGCUUAAGACUGGAGUGCUUGAGGAUGGAAGAGGGUUGUGGAAUUCCCAGUGUAGAGGUGAAAUUCGUAGAUAUUGGGAAGAACACCGGUGGCGAAGGCGGCAACCUGGUCCAUUACUGACGCUGAGGCGCGACAGCGUGGGGAGCAAACAGGAUUAGAUACCCGUGUAGUCCCUGUCUCUUAUAA